rnacentral:rRNA from 1 species
CGGGAGGCAGCAGUGAGGAAUAUUGGUCAAUGGGCGCAAGCCUGAACCAGCCAUCCCGCGUGCAGGAAGACGGCCCUAUGGGUUGUAAACUGCUUUUCCAGGGAGAGAAACUUACGUAC